rnacentral:rRNA from 1 species
GAUGAACGCUGGCGGCGUGCCUAAUACAUGCAAGUCGAGCGAACGGACGAGAAGCUUGCUUCUCUGAUGUUAGCGGCGCGCGGGGGAGUAAAACGUGUAUAACCUACCUAUUAGACUGGGAUAACUUAGGGAAACCGGAGCUAAAACCGGAUAAUAUUUUGAACCGCAUGGUUCAAAAGUGAAGGAAGGUGUUGCUGUCACUUAUGGAUGGAUCCGCGCUGCAUUAGCUAGUUGGUAAGGUAACGGCUUACCAAGGCAACGAUGCAUAGCCGACCUGAGAGGGUGAUCGGCCACACUGGAACUGAAACACGGUCCGGACUCCUACGGGAGGCACCAGUAGGGAAUCUUCCGCAAUGGUCGAAAGCCUGACGGAGCAACGCCGCGUGAGUGAUGAAGGUCUUCGGAUCUUAAAACUCUGUUAUUAGGGAAAAACAUAUGUGUAAGUAACUGUACACAUCUUGACGGUACCUAAUCAGAAAGCCACGGCUAACUACGUG